rnacentral:rRNA from 1 species
GACGAACGCUGGCGGCGUGCUUAACACAUGCAAGUCGAACGGAAAGGCCCCUUUGGGGGUACUCGAGUGGCGAACGGGUGAGUAACACGUGAGUAACCUGCCCUUGACUUCGGGAUAACUUCAGGAAACUGGGGCUAAUACCGGAUAGGAAUCCUUGCUGCAUGGUGGGGGUUGGAAAGCUUCGGCGGUUUUGGAUGGACUCGCGGCUUAUCAGCUUGUUGGCGGGGUAGUGGCUUACCAAGGCUUUGACGGGUAGCCGGCCUGAGAGGGCGACCGGCCACAUUGGGACUGAGAUACGGCCCAGACUCCUACGGGAGGCAGCAGUGGGGAAUAUUGCACAAUGGGCGGAAGCCUGAUGCAGCAACGCCGCGUGCGGGAUGACAGCCUUCGGGUUGUAAACCGCUUUCAGCAGGGGCGAAGCUUGUGGUGACGGUACCUGCAGAAGAAGCACCGGCUAACUACGUG